AUGCGAUCGCUUGGAACCCUCAGGUCUUUGGUAUUAAAUGGAAGCUCAAAAUUAUUGGAAUCACUGCAGCUGCAUUCCUGCACAGCGCUGGAACGUUUGGAAAUUGGUUGGUGUAGUUCGCUCGUCACAUUAGAAGGCUUGCAAUCCCUCGUGAACCUCAAGCAUUUGAAAAUACGCCAGUCCCCUGCCGCUUACUUGUCUCUCCUUAACACGUCAUUCUGCAAGGGCCUCACCUGCCUCCGAAGCCUAAUGCUUACUCUUUCGGAUGCAACGAGGCUAACAGAUGAGCAAGAGAGCGCGCUUCAGCUCCUCAGGUCCCUGCAAGAGCUCCACUUUGAAUAUUGUGCGUAUCUCGUAGAUCUUCCUGCGGGGCUGCACGGCCUCCUUUCCCUCAAGACGUUGAAGAUCGUAGGUUGUGGUCGCAUCUCAGGGCUUCCAAAGGAGGGCCUCCCUCCUUCACUGGAAGAACUGGAAAUCUUCAAUUGCAGUGCCGAGUUAUCAAAACAAUGCAGAUUGCUAGGAACAAGCAAGCUAGAGGUCAAAAUUGAUUGGGUCUAUGUGGACUGA
rnacentral:rRNA from 1 species